UACAGAGGUCUCAAGCGUUGUUCGGAUUCAUUGGGCGUAAAGGGUGCGUAGGUGGCGCGCUAAGUCAGGUGUGAAAUUUCGGAGCUUAACUCCGAACUGCAUUUGAUACUGGCGUGCUUGAGGACUGGAGAGGAGACUGGAAUUCAUGGUGUAGCAGUGAAAUGCGUAGAGAUCAUGAGGAAGACCAGUGGCGAAGGCGGGUCUCUGGACAGUUCCUGACAGCUGAGACACGAAGGCCAGGGGAGCAAACGGG
rnacentral:rRNA from 1 species